rnacentral:rRNA from 1 species
GACGAAGCCGUGCGAACGUUGUUUCGGAUUCACUGGGCUUAAAGGGCGCGUAGGCGGGCCGCCAAGUCAGGGGUGAAAUCCUCCCGGCUCAACCGGAGAACGGCCCCUGAUACUGGCGGCCUCGAGGGGGGUAGGGGCAGGCGGAACUUCCGGUGGAGCGGUGAAAUGCGUAGAUAUCGGAAGGAACGCCGGUGGCGAAAGCGGCUUCCUGGACUAAUACUGACGCUGAGGUGCGAAAGCGUGGGGAGCAAACAGG